CAGGUGAAGAGCUGAUCGGACAGUGAGGGAGUUCAGCAUAAUUUAUGGACUCAAAGCCUGGAGAAAUAAACUACAUGUAUCUACCGAAUAUACACCGAUACAAGCUGCGUCUCUGUUUCCUCUCCAUCAGUGAGUUUGACACGCAUCCGGCUCCUGUUGAUUACAGAGUCUGAAUGUCCGCGCGGAUUGCAGCAUGGUGGGAACUUUGAACUUGCAGAUGUCCACAUUCUACUGUGGCCAGAAUAGGCAACAAAUUUGACACUCAUUCUGAUCCACCAGUAUAAACCAUGUGGCCUAGAAAUUUCUUGAUCUUUUUUUUUUUUAAACUGUAAACUAUAUAAACCACAUUUCUACUCCCACUUUGAUCAUGCGUAUGUUUGCAUGUGAUGUGGCGGUAGCAACUGUGGAAUCUACACGCAUGUGUUUGUACGCAUACGCUAGCUCAGACAUGCUAACAAGUUGCAUGCUCAUUUAUACCCACAGUCGCAUGCACACGCAUUCACUGGCUGACUAGACGCUCAGAGAGAAAGAGAGAGAGGGGG
ensembl:lncRNA